rnacentral:ncRNA from 1 species
UUCUCCUUAAAGUUUUAUUCUUGCUAAAAAGUUCUUUGUUAAUUGUGGUACAUGCUUGUUUUGUCGUGUUUAUUUUUCUUAAUGAAAUAUUUAGUUUUUUGCAGUGCUUCUAUUUGGUUUGUAUUUAGUUGAAAUUUCUAGACUUAGCAUUUUAAUUUUUCAUCGGCAAAGUUCGUGCCAGCUGCCGCGGUUAUACGAUAGAUGUUUUGGAAUUUUUGUUGGAUUAAUUGUAGUUAUUUUGUUUAUUUGAAAUGGUAUUUUGUAUUACUCAGGUGAAAUUGUGUAUUUUACUUCUGUUUCUUUUAAUUGGUUAGAUAAUUCUGUGAAAUUAUAAUAUUAGACUGGGAUUAGAUACCCCAUUAUAAUUAAUGUUAAAUUGUUUCUUGGGUAUUAUUAGUUAGGUUCUUGAAACCCAAAGAAUUUGGCGGUAUCUUAGUCUUUUUAGAGGAACCUGCUUCGUAAUCGAUAGUCCUCGAUAAAUCUUGCUUUAUUUUGUAAUUUACAGUUUGUAUAUCGCCGUCGUUAGGAUUUCUUUUUAGAGAUUAAUUUCCUGGAAAUACAACAUUUUAUUGAGCGUCAGGUCAAGGUGCAGCUAAUGGUAAAGUGAUUAGUGGGUUACAAUAAUUUUAUUUAUUACGGAUGUUUGUUGUAAGAUGAUAUUGAAGGUGGAUUUAAUAGUAAAUUUUAUUAGAGAAUAAUUUUGAUUUUAGCUCUAAGGUGUGUACACAUCGCCCGUCGCUCUCGUUUAUUUAGGCGAGAUAAGUCGUAACAUAGUAGGUGUACUGGAAAGUGUACCUAGAAUGAAAAAU